rnacentral:lncRNA from 1 species
GUUGCGGCUGCCGCCCCGACGCCCGCGCAUCCCCGCUCGCCGCGCCCGCCGCCGCGAUGUCCGGGGCCGGCCUAGCCGCGGUGGUGAGCUGCCUGCGCCCGCAGCCCGGCGAGGAGCCGCAGACCCAUGAGGACCUUCUCCUGGCAGCUGCCUAUGUUUUGGAUGCCCAGUACAACAGAAAUGUUCCAUUUGAAACUCACCUCAGGCCAUCAGACGUUACUAUUUUUAUAACCACUAGACAACGCAGGUUGCCGCAUACUUCUUUAUUUGUGUAGACCUCGCUCUUGCCCUGUUUGAAGAGUCUGAGUUGCUUCCCCUGCCUUUCUUGGCCACCUCAAUAGCAGAAGUACUCUGCCUGACUGCAUACUUUGGCAGACUGGUACAUUUUGCAAAAGUCACUCCUCAAAUGGUUUUCUGGAAGGAUACAAAAGACAUCUGCACCAUGGUAACCACAGUGGCGAGUGUUCAUUGUAGUACCUGUAAGAGUUUAUGACCGAAGGCAGGAGCCAUGAAGAAAAAAGACUCAAUAGAUUUGCUUUUGAUGAAACAACAACACUUCCAUACAGUGAACGCCAUAAGCACAACUGCAAGCAAACCCCAAACUGAAGAACAAAUAGGGCAAAAUGUGGCAGUGCAGACAUUUCAGCAUAUCAAGAGCACUUCCAAAUUACAGGAAAAAAAAGAUAUCUCAAUAGAUAAUUUUGCUGAAGAUAAGUGAAGGCAACUCAUAAGGAAAAAAUAUGUAAAAUGGCCGAUAGGAAAGAUGUUUAACGUCACUAAUUAAAAAUUAUAGAAUAAAACGACAAUAAAAUACCAUGUGUUUGCCUAUAAAAAAUCUUAGCAAGAUUGAAAACAAA